rnacentral:tRNA from 1 species
AUUUAUAAUUUAGUGUACGUAGCACAAAAGUAUUUGAAACUUUUAGAAAUAGAUAAAUUCUAUUAAUAUAAA